rnacentral:rRNA from 1 species
AACGAACGCUGGCGGCGUGCCUAACACAUGCAAGUCGAACGUGAAAGUCCUUCGGGAUGAGUAAAGUGGCGCACGGGUGAGUAACACGUAGGAGACCUGCCUUUUAGAGGGGAAUAACCAGAAGAAAUUUUGGCUAAUGCUGCAUACGAAGCACGGUUUUAAGACUGUGCUUGAAAGAAUGCCUCUGUAUAUGCAUUCACUAAAAGAUGGGCCUGGGGAACAUUAGCUAGUUGGUUGGGUAAAGGCCUACCAAGGCAACGAUGUUUAUCCGGUCUGAGAGGAUGAUCGGACACACUGGAACUGAGACACGGUCCAGACUCCUACGGGAGGCAGCAGUGGGGAAUAUUGCGCAAUGGGGGAAACCCUGACGCAGCAACGCCGCGUGAGUGAGGAAGGACUUCGGUCUGUAAAGCUCUGUUAAUGUGGAAAAAUGGUAGUUGGUCUAAUAGGCCGAUUAUUUGAUGGUACACAUAGAGGAAGCACCGGCUAACUUCGUGCCAGCCGCCGCCGUAA